GACGAACGCUGGCGGCGUGCCUAAUACAUGCAAGUAGAACGCACAGUUUAUACCGUAGCUUGCUACACCAUAGACUGUGAGUUGCGAACGGGUGAGUAACGCGUAGGUAACCUGCCUGGUAGCGGGGGAUAACUAUUGGAAACGAUAGCUAAUACCGCAUAAUAUUGAUUAUUGCAUGAUAAUUAAUUGAAAGGUGCAAUUGCACCACUACCAGAUGGACCUGCGUUGUAUUAGCUAGUAGGUGAGGUAACGGCUCACCUAGGCGACGAUACAUAGCCGACCUGAGAGGGUGAUCGGCCACACUGGGACUGAGACACGGCCCAGACUCCUACGGGAGGCAGCAGUAGGGAAUCUUCGGCAAUGGACGAAAGUCUGACCGAGCAACGCCGCGUGAGUGAAGAAGGUUUUCGGAUCGUAAAGCUCUGUUGUAAGAGAAGAACGGGUGUGAGAGUGGAAAGUUCACACUGUAACGGUAUCUUACCAGAAAGGGACGGCUAACUACGUG
rnacentral:rRNA from 1 species